UUUAAAUCAUUGUUGUCCACUAAUGGCCAGUUCAUCCACUAAGAGUCGUCCUCUCCUCUUUCUCCACUAUCAUAAUUCAUAAGCAAACCUUGAGCCAGCUUUUCAUCUGUUGCAUGGUUCUGUCGUCGGAAAUGAACGGGAGAGUCUUCGUUCUGAUAUUUUUCUUCUGGGCAGUUUUCACCAUAGUUACCCCAACUCUUAUUAUCUUGUCUGCAUCUGCAAAAUCCAAUUCGGACUCCAAUGGCGAAGAAAGCGAUGAAAUGAGCUUGAGAAGAAUGAUGGGCUUUUUAGAGGGAGAAGAUAUGGUAAGAGUAUUGUCAGCUCCAGCACCGGCGCCCACACCAGCCCCGGAAACCGCUUUAGGACAUGGAGUAGUUAUUUUGACAAAGUUUCGGCAUCAAAAAACGAUGUGAAGGAGUAUAGGCAAUGCAGUCAAUGAAGGGCUGUGUGUGUAAGUGUAUGUGUUCUCUUGUAUAUAAAUGAAAUUUGAAAAAUCUGUUCAAAACUUGCAAUCUUUGAUGGGAAUUGGAUUAGUGAGAUCUGUUUAUGACUCUUU